UACGUAGGGUGCGAGCGUUGUCCGGAAUUAUUGGGCGUAAAGAGCUCGUAGGCGGUGUGUCACGUCGGCCGUGAAAACCUGCAGCUUAACUGUGGGCGUGCGGUCGAUACGGGCAUCACUGGAGUUCGGCAGGGGAGACUGGAAUUCCUGGUGUAGCGGUGAAAUGCGCAGAUAUCAGGAGGAACACCAAUGGCGAAGGCAGGUCGCUGGGCCUUAACUGACGCUGAGAAGCGAAAGCAUGGGGAGCAAACAGG
rnacentral:rRNA from 1 species